rnacentral:lncRNA from 1 species
AAAAAAUAUUAAAAAAAAUAAUCUUGUAAGGUGACAAGAAUAAUGUGUACAAUACCAAUUAUACAGUAUUAUUGGGAACAAAAGUGAGGGUCAGAGAUAAGUCAGUGAGAUGGGAAUGCUGACUCAGGAACAGUGUAUGACACUUAGUUGAUAUUUAUAAAAUGUUUGUUAUUUGAAUGAAUGAAAACUUGGAGAUCAGGGAAGAAGAUAAAAAUAGAUCUAGAGGAAAUCUUAGAAACUAUCUGGUACAACCCAAAGAGGUUAAUGACUAGCCCAGAGUCACACAGCAAGGGCUAUAAUGUGAACUAAUGAACUCUGUCUGGGGCUCUUUCUACCUUUCCAGAUCUGUGGCUUGGAUUGGGGUUUUAAGAAUGGAGAUUUUUAAUCGGCCAAAUAUCAAAGGCACAGGCCAGCAGAGCUACAUAGGCAGAAUAGAACAGCAGGGGUCAGGACCACAUGUUGAAGCUAAUAUGAAAAGAGAGGGAAGAAAGAACUGUUUAUUGAGCACCUACUAUGAAUCAUGCACAGGCACAGUGUGAGUUGAGAGAACAUCUCUUUAGGGAAAGCCUGGACAAAGAAGCAAGAAAGUAAGAGGCUCGAGAGCCCAAGGAGGCCUGAAGGUCAGGCCAAGGAGGCUGGCUUGGCAGGUUUUGAGAGCAGAGGAUGUCCAGGUCGUGGUUUGAGUGUGUGGUGGCCUGGUACAUUUCUUUUCCCCAGCUCCCACUUGCUCAUCCAGGCCACAGAAAGUAGAACACCUCACCCUCUGGGGCCUCGAUAAAGCCCAGAAUAAUUUUCUUACCCAGAUUCCUCUUCCUGUGUGUACCUGGGUGUAUUCUGAGGGGUCCCCAGCUGCCCAGUGCUGGCACGUCCUAGGAACUGCCAAGGGCAUCCUCCCCAGCCCUGUGCACCUGGGCCUUCAAGCCUUUCCCUCCCCAACCCACCCAGAGAGCAAAGCUGCUGUCGACCGCUUCGAGGGGUACAAGCCCAAGGUGGCCCUAGUCCCAGGGUCAGUACCACUCUGCUCCGCGGCUCAGAGCCUCCAGCCUGCCUGGCUUCCCCUCCAGGAGCCCCAUUUCCUGCCUUCUGCUUCUUCAGGGCUGCCAGAGCCUCAAAUGGAAAACAAGCCCAGCCCCAUUUCCUCUGUUUAACUACUGGAGCUCUUUGCAGAAUGCCUGGGAGAGGAAGACUGGGCCCUGCAACAGUCUCCUUCCAGAAUAGACGUUGGCCUGGAGGGCAGAGUCUCUGAUGGGCCCCAGCAUACAGGUCCCACCUGGAGAGACUCAGAGAUGAUGGGCUGGAGGGAGAACCGUUGGGGAAAGAGGCUUCGAACCUGGCAUUUCCCCCAAACUUAGAAGAGCAAUAGGAGUCUUAUUAAAGAGUCUGGGCUUAGAGUCUUAAUUUCACCACUUACUAGCUGGGUGACCUUGGACUUAGUGACUCUGUGCCUCAGUUUCCCUGUGCAAGAGGAAGACAAUAACAAAGUGAACCUCUUGGGUCAUUAAAGGAUGCAAUGAGCUAAUUAUAUAUUCCGUACAGCUCCUGGCACAGAAGUAUGCAAGCAAUACUAUUGUUUCUUAUGACUAUUAGUGAUCCAUUGCAUUAAGUGCAUCGGGUAAACAAGUUAUUGAAAAACAUUAUGCUCCAGUCAUGAGGGACUCGCUGAUUCCAGCACCAGGCAGGGGCUUCUAAGGGUCGAGGUGGCAUCGUGUGCAUCCCUGUGUCCACAGGUUUUGUAGUGUAAGUGUCUGCUGAACUGAGCUGACACUGUUUCUGUCCUCUAGAAAUUCACAGCCUUGCUGGAGUAACACACACAUGUACAAUUAAAGAACUAAUUAUAGAGCAGUGUGAUUAAAGAAUGCUUGAGGAAAGCACGAUUUCCUCCCCAGAACAAGCCCUAAGGAUAAAGAGUAAGACGGACCACAGGUGCCAAGGCACACUCCUGUAAUCCUAGCAACUCAGGAUGCUGAGGCAGGAGGAUCCCAGGUUGGAGACCAGCCUCAGCAACUUAGGGAGGCCCUAAGCAACUUAGGGAGACCACUUCUCAAAAAAAUAAAAAGGGCUGGGGAUGUAGCUCAGUGGUUAAGCACCUCUGGGUUCUAUCCUGGUACCCCAGUCCCCCCCCCAAAAAAUGAAGGAAUAACAAGUAAGUGUACACAUUACUAUUUAUUUGCCAAAUCUUCAUGAUGGCUUCAAACUCCAGCACAGCCUAAGCUCGUGAUCUUUCCAGUCCCUGGUCACAUUCCUCUGGCUCCUGUUCUCCCAGGUCAGCACGUGAGGCACUCUCUUGAUUCAUUUAGGGCCGUUCUCAAAUGUUGCUUCAGAGGAGUGAGGUGUUGCGUGCCCCCCUCCCCCCUCCCCCUUCAUUUUAGCUCCCUUCUUUAUAGCACAUGUCAAUACCUGACAUUGUAUUAGGCAUGGAUGGUCAGUUUCCUGGUCAAUCUCCCCUGCCCCCAACCUCUGAGCCCUGUGAGGACAGAGCCCAGCUUCCUUGCUUACCAUGAUACUUUCCAAUACAGAGCCGGGUGCUUGGAAGACAGCCAAGAUGUUUUUAUCAAAUAAAUUAAUUUGCAAACCUUUUCCCCUCCUAAUUAACACGUCUAUACUCUAUGAGUCUGAGUUAUUAUUCCAUUUUACAGAUGAGAAAAUUGAGGCCCAUUAGUUUACCUGUUCAUAUCUUACCUUAUUUCAAACAUCUUCAUUGCUGCUUUUACUACCAUCACUGUCCCUGUGUUGGAUGGUGUGAUGUACACAGAG